GAUGAACGCUGGCGGCGUGCCUAAUACAUGCAAGUCGAGCGAACGGACGAGAAGCUUGCUUCUCUGAUGUUAGCGGCGGACGGGUGAGUAACACGUGGAUAACCUACCUAUAAGACUGGGAUAACUUCGGGAAACCGGAGCUAAUACCGGAUAAUAUUUUGAGCCGCAUGGUUCAAAAGUGAAAGACGGUCUUGCUGUCACUUAUAGAUGGAUCCGCGCUGCAUUAGCUAGUUGGUAAGGUAACGGCUUACCAAGGCAACGAUGCAUAGCCGACCUGAGAGGGUGAUCGGCCACACUGGAACUGAGACACGGUCCAGACUCCUACGGGAGGCAGCAGUAGGGAAUCUUCCGCAAUGGGCGAAAGCCUGACGGAGCAACGCCGCGUGAGUGAUGAAGGUCUUCGGAUCGUAAAACUCUGUUAUUAGGGAAGAACAUAUGUGUAAGUAACUGUGCACAUCUUGACGGUACCUAAUCAGAAAGCCACGGCUAACUACGUGCCAGCAGCCGCGGUAAUACGUAGGUGGCAAGCGUUAUCCGGAAUUAUUGGGCGUAAAGCGCGCGUAGGCGGUUUUUUAAGUCUGAUGUGAAAGCCCACGGCUCAACCGUGGAGGGUCAUUGGAAACUGGAAAACUUGAGUGCAGAAGAGGAAAGUGGAAUUCCAUGUGUAGCGGUGAAAUGCGCAGAGAUAUGGAGGAACACCAGUGGCGAAGGCGACUUUCUGGUCUGUAACUGACGCUGAUGUGCGAAAGCGUGGGGAUCAAACAGGAUUAGAUACCCUGGUAGUCCACGCCGUAAACGAUGAGUGCUAAGUGUUAGGGGGUUUCCGCCCCUUAGUGCUGCAGCUAACGCAUUAAGCACUCCGCCUGGGGAGUACGACCGCAAGGUUGAAACUCAAAGGAAUUGACGGGGACCCGCACAAGCGGUGGAGCAUGUGGUUUAAUUCGAAGCAACGCGAAGAACCUUACCAAAUCUUGACAUCCUUUGACAACUCUAGAGAUAGAGCCUUCUCCUUCGGGGGACAAAGUGACAGGUGGUGCAUGGUUGUCGUCAGCUCGUGUCGUGAGAUGUUGGGUUAAGUCCCGCAACGAGCGCAACCCUUAAGCUUAGUUGCCAUCAUUAAGUUGGGCACUCUAAGUUGACUGCCGGUGACAAACCGGAGGAAGGUGGGGAUGACGUCAAAUCAUCAUGCCCCUUAUGAUUUGGGCUACACACGUGCUACAAUGGACAAUACAAAGGGCAGCGAAACCGCGAGGUCAAGCAAAUCCCAUAAAGUUGUUCUCAGUUCGGAUUGUAGUCUGCAACUCGACUACAUGAAGCUGGAAUCGCUAGUAAUCGUAGAUCAGCAUGCUACGGUGAAUACGUUCCCGGGUCU
rnacentral:rRNA from 1 species